UACGUAGGUGGCGAGCGUUGUCCGGAAUUACUGGGUGUAAAGGGAGCGCAGGCGGGGUCUUAAGCCGGAUGUGAAAUACCGCAGCUCAACUGCGGGGCUGCAUCCGGAACUGGGACUCUUGAGUGGAGUAGAGGCAGGCGGAAUUCCUAGUGUAGCGGUGAAAUGCGUAGAUAUUAGGAGGAACACCAGUGGCGAAGGCGGCCUGCUGGGCUUUUACUGACGCUGAGGCUCGAAAGCGUGGGGAGCAAAC
rnacentral:rRNA from 1 species